rnacentral:rRNA from 1 species
UACGGGGGGAGCAAGCGUUGUGCGGAUUUACUGGGCGUAAAGAGCUCGUAGGCGGCUUGUUGCGUCGACUGUGAAAACCCGCGGCUUAACCGCGGGCUUGCAGUUGAUACGGGCAGGCUAGAGUUCGGCAGGGGAGACUGGAAUUCCUGGUGUAGCGGUGAAACGCGCAGAUAUCAGGAGGAACACCGGUGGCGAAGGCGGGUCUCUGGGCCGAUACUGACGCUGAGGAGCGAAAGCAUGGGUAGCGAACAGG